UACGUAGGCAGCGAGCGUUGUUCGGAAUUACUGGGCGUAAAGAGUGUGUAGGCGGUGCUCUAAGUUCGGUGUGAAAUCUCCUGGCUCAACUGGGAGGGUGCGCCGGAAACUGGAGUGCUUGAGCGUGGGAGAGGAAAGCGGAAUUCCUGGUGUAGCGGUGAAAUGCGUAGAUAUCAGGAGGAACACCUGUGGUGUAGACGGCUUUCUGGACCAUAGCUGACGCUGAGACACGAAAGCGUGGGUAGCAAAAGGG
rnacentral:rRNA from 1 species